AUUGAACGCUGGUGGAAUGCUUUACACAUGCAAGUCGAGCGGCAGCGCGGGGCAACCUGGCGGCGAGCGGCGAACGGGUGAGUAAUACAUCGGAACGUGCCCAGACGUGGGGGAUAACUACUCGAAAGAGUAGCUAAUACCGCAUAUGAUCUAAGGAUGAAAGCGGGGGAUCGCAAGACCUCGCGCGUUUGGAGCGGCCGAUGGAAGAUUAGGUAGUUGGGGGGGUAAAGGCUUACCAAGCCUGCGAUCUGUAGCUGGUCUGAGAGGACGACCGGCCAUCCUGGGAGAGAGACACGGCCCGUACUCCUACGGGAGGAGGCGGGGUGGAAUUGUGGACAAUGGGGGAAACCCUAAUCCAGCAAACCAGCGUGCAGGAUGAAGGCCUCCGGGUUGUAAACUGCUUUCGUGCGGAACGAAAAGUCUGGGGUUAAUACCCUGAGUUCAUGACGGUACCGUAAGAAUAAGCACCGGCUAACUACGUGCCAGCAGCCGCCGUAA
rnacentral:rRNA from 1 species